rnacentral:lncRNA from 1 species
GAAUUUGUAAAACUGUCACAUCAUGGCAUUAAUAGCACAUAAAAAGAGUAAUAAAUACCAAAGUAAAGAUUACUCUGAAACAAGGGAUAAAAGGAGGGGUUCAAUGGGUAAAGAACAUCUAAGAACAUUUGAAACAUUAAGAAUCAGAGUAUUUUGUAGGAUGCUGUUGCGAUCCGAUUCUAGCGCUUCAAGACUUAGGAUCUCCAACCCUUCCGAUCUCUCAGGAUCGUAUCCUCGACAAAAGGUAUGAACACACAGACAUAGUUCUUACUGGAUCUCCGUGGAGAUUUCCU